CCUACGGGAGGCAGCAGUGAGGAAUAUUCCGCAAUGGGCGAAAGCCUGACGGAGCGACGCCGCGUGGAGGACGAAUUCCCUCGGGAUGUAAACUCCUUUUGGGGUGAAGAAAACAAGAGGCGCUAAUACCGCCUUGAGUUGAUCGAUCCCAGAAUAAGCCUGGGCUAAUUCCGUGCCAGCAGCCGCGGUAAGACGGAACAGGCAAGCGUUGUUCGGAAUCACUGGGCUUAAAGCGCGUGUAGGCGGCUUGGCAAGUACCUUGUGAAAGCCCCCGUCUCAACCGGGGAACUGCUGGGUAUACUGCCAGGCUUGAGGCAGGUAGGGGUGCCUGGAACUCUAGGUGGAGCGGUGAAAUGCGUAGAUAUCUAGAGGAACGCCCGUGGCGAAAGCGGGGCACUGGGCCUGACCUGACGCUGAGGCGCGAAAGCGUGGGUAGCAAACGGGAUUAGAUACCCGAGUAGUC
rnacentral:rRNA from 1 species